rnacentral:lncRNA from 1 species
AUCCAGCAAGUUCCACAUGUUCCGUAACCACUUUAGAGGGGAACUUAAUGGGCUGGAUUUGCAGCAAGUUAAAUGAGACUUUUUUUUUUUUUUAACGAUGUAGUUUUCACAGGCUGAUGCCCUUCACUGUUUGAGCGAAACCAUCUUGGUUGAACACGUGGGUACAUUUCACCAUCAGCCUUGUGUCAAAUAACCCUGAAUUUGAAAAUGAAAGC